rnacentral:misc_RNA from 1 species
AGAACUUUCAGUGUUCAGACUUAUUGUAGAGAUGAGUAGGAGAGCUCGAUAGAUUUUUCAUUCAUUUUGAAGAGAACGAGAGCUUGAGGGUAUUUUUCCAGUGAUCAGUCCACUAAAUCAGAAGCUAAUGCUAGAAUUAUUUUCAACUUAGAGAAAUAUUUUCAGAAAUUCGAACAAAGAGUGGAUGGAAGAGAUGUUGGAAAGACAAUAUCCGAAUCAAUUUGUAAGAAACUAUCCGACACUGCCUUUUCUGAUUCACUGGUGGUGCUGGCUGGACAGUGAAGGUGGCAAGGGGAAGAGCGGAGGAAAAGCAGCGGCUGGGCUAGGUUGCUUGAUGGCGUUUGCUGGUGGAGCGGUGGUCGGAGGCGAGGUGGAGGUGGGGGCGGGGAGAGGCUGAGGUGCGGUGGUUUUGUGAGAAAUUGAAAUGGGGGGUUUGUGGACAUAAUUAGGGUAUUACAACUACAAAAUCUCAAAUUUUG